CUCUGAUGGCUCGGAUGGUAAAGAGUCUGCCUGCAAUGCAGGAGACCCAGGUUCGAUCCCUGGGUCAGGAA
rfam:TPA: Bos taurus chromosome 1, whole genome shotgun sequence.